rnacentral:rRNA from 1 species
CAGGACGAACGCUGGCGGCGUGCUUAACACAUGCAAGUCGAACGAUGACGGUGGUGCUUGCACCACCUGAUAGUGGCGAACGGGUGAGUAACACGUGAGUAACCUGCCCCUCACUUCGGGAUAACCUCGGGAAAUCGUGGCUAAUACCGGAUAUGAACUCCUGCCGCAUGGUGGGGGUUGGAAAGAUUUAUCGGUGAGGGAUGGACUCGCGGCCUAUCAGUUUGUUGGUGAGGUAAUGGCUCACCAAGACGAUGACGGGUAGCCGGCCUGAGAGGGCGACCGGCCACACUGGGACUGAGACACGGUCCAGACUCCUACGGGAGGCAGCAGCUAAGAAUCUUCCGCAAUGGGCGAAAGCCUGACGGAGCCGACGCCGCGUGAACGAAGAAGGCCGUGAGGUUGUAAAGUUCUUUUCGGGAGGGGAACAACCGUGGCAGGGAAUGGCCGCGGGAUGACGUGAAUCCCGGAAUAAGCCCCGGCUAACUACGUGCCAGCCGCCGC